GCGGGCGCUUCAGCAGGCUCCCUGGGCCGCGGCCCGCAGGACCCCUUAGGACGCGCGGUCCUGGCCGCCCGGGCUGGCCCGAGCCGCUCCGGCCGCCUCGCCGGGCCCGUGAGAUGGCCGGCCCACUCUCACCCCGAGCCUCAGUCUUCCUCUCUGUGGAACGGGGCGACUUGGAAGGUGAAGGCUGAGUGCGCGGGGCGGACGGGAUCUCACGGCCCGGGAGGCAGAGCCGGGGCGGCGCACUGCCCGUGCGGGGCCCGGGCGGCCGGAGCAAGGACGCGGGAGGCCUGGGCGCUAGCGGCCCGGACACGGGGCCCGAGGGCGGCCGAGCGCUACCAGAAGAGGCGGUGCCCAGCGGACCCCAAGCGGUGCUCCGCGCCCGCAGGCGCGUAGGCCGGGUCAGCCCCGCACUCCACAGCUUUGGCACCGAGGGGCGUCCGCCCGAGGGCCCAGUGGUCGGGCCGUGCCCCACCCUCAGCGGGGGCGGAGUGCGAACGACCCCUUCUCCAGGACGACCGCCCUCAGACUCUGCUUGCCACGUACACAGCGGGUGGACGGGUGCCCCUGGCUGCGGACCAGGUGGGUUAGCACCCGGAGAAGCGGGAGAGACGGCCGCCUCCACAAGGACCUUCUCCUGGAAGAGCCGGGAGCCCGACAGGCGAGGGUAGGAAGAACGCUGAAGAGACCCCCAGAGGAAGAGCCGACGGAAGGAGCUGCUGCAGCCCCCACAGGGCACCGUCUGUUCCACUGCCCUGCACCCUCCUGAGUGCCUGCCGGGUCUUCAGAAGGAGCCUCCAUGCAGCGCCUACUAAAGCCGACCCCCAAAAUGCUGGCUCUGACCGGGGAAGCCUAUGGGCUUCUGCGUGGUUGUGCUGGGGUCUCCCGGUCUGCAGACCUGUUUUGUUCGAGGCAGCCAGGAAGUGCUGGCCCCAGGGGACAACAGCAGAAAGCAGUCUUCAGGCUCAGAAGGGACUGAUGCAGCAGCCUAGCCCUCUGCCUUCUCUCGUCCCAGCCUGGCAAGUGGGCAGGGUCCCAGGGAGAGCAGCCGUUUGGGGGCAAGGGCACAGGCACCAAGCUGAGGACUGGUGGCAGCUGCGCUGGGGAGACUCCACUGCACCUGUACCCCAGACUCUGUCAUCACUGGGGAAACAAAAGCCCCCGCUCCCUCCGCACAGCUGCUGCCUCCAGAGGGGCUGAGAGCCCCGUGCACCCUUGUGGCCUGCCCACCAUGCGGCCCACUCCUUGAGGGCAGGCCCACGUGUUUGUUUGCACCUGGGUCCUCAGCGGGGCACCCUGCACCUGGUGUAGCCUCGGGGAGAAGUGACAAGUCAGUGGGCACACAAGCUGCGCUCACGGGGGCUGAGUGUCCACUCCGUGUCCCCACGUGGCCUGGUCUGUUCUAAGACCAAACGGGCGCCUGCGCAGCUGUGUGAUUCGGGCCUUCUCAGGGGGUGUUCUCCAGACGGGGCGCUGGCGGAGACAGUGGGUGCUGUGAGCCUGCCGGAGCACGGGCAGGAAGGGCAGGGUGGGAGUGUGGCAUUCUGCUGUCUCAUCACCUGUUCAGGGGGCCGUCACGGGAGAACGUGUGCUGUGCAGGGGCUGGCACAGGCCCAGCACCCAGCAGGGGUCUGAUGGAGAGGAGAACCUCACUCCCGGCUGUUCCCAGCCUGUCUCUUCACAGCCCCAGGCUCUUAGAAAACCGACUCUACCAUGAGACUUGUAACAGCCUCCCAAGGUAUUUAACACCAAGCAAGAGUGGCAAAAAAAAAAAAAAAAAGUACAAGAAAAUCC
rnacentral:lncRNA from 1 species